AUUUUUAUGCUGUUAUGGGAAUUGCAAUGUCCCAAAGCCUUAAUCUGUUAUAGUCACAAGAGUUGACCUGGUACUGCUUCUGUCACAGGUUGACUCAAGUAGAAGUGUCUGGUCUGCCAGCUCCUUUGCUUGUUCAAAUUGGAACAUAUCAGAGGAUGAAUGGUGAAUUCUUCAUCCAUCAAAUGUGUCUCCAUCCCUGUAUACGAAACUGUCUCAGUGCUGAGCACAUACUAAGAUGAUGGAGACACUGUACACGUAUGUCCAAAACAAGCCUUUUCUUUUUCAGUUAAACUGUGCA
rnacentral:lncRNA from 1 species